AAUAGAAUUAAAAUACAAUUUCUUUAUAGUGUGGUUUAUUUGUAUACAUUUGGCCAAAUUUGUUGUAAGCGCUCAUACACACGAACGGCAUGUUGUUAACGGCACAGAUAACUGCAGCCGUCGACAUUCCAACUGUGAAGAUCAGCGGCAGCCGUCGUCAGCUUACUUAGUAUAGGACUUUGGGAGUCAGUCAAGCAAUUUUCUCGAUGGCCAUAAUUAACAAUUCAACAUCAAUUUCGUCACUAGAAAUCAUUUUACAUAUUCCCGACGCAUACACAAUCUUGAACUAUACAGUCGACUGACAAAAUGGCGGACGCGACAUCGACAGUACGCUACAUUGCAAAUGACGCUAUAGGUCGACGGCUGCAUUUGUCUGCGCCGUUGACAACAUGCCGUUCGUGUGCAUGAGCACUCAGAAUCGUAACUUUCAUGAUUAAAAUUCAUCUACUAAUUUGUGAAAAAAACCCUAUUUAACAAUAAUUAACUUUUUUGGGGAGCCAUAAGUAUCAUCAUAGAUACUACCUACACUUAAUAUUAUACGAGAGAUAUCAUCAAAAUAAUUAAUAUAAAAUGUUGGUGAAUCAAAAGAGCAAAUACACACAGUCCAUGCGGAAAUGAAAGGCAUAUUGAAAUUUUAGAUGCUUAACAAGUGAUUGAAAAAUCUGUCGCUAGAGAAAUAUUUAUAUUAAUAUAAUAUGAACCUGUUCGUAGUAGACCAUACUUAAGGAAUGCAGUAUGAAAGUUGCAAAUAAAUAUUACUGAUAAAUGUUGUGAAACUUUUUUAGAAUUUAAUAAAAACUGAUCAGAUUCAGAUCCUUAUUACACAUGUAUCGAUUUACUAUAACGAUUAUCGUAUAGAAAGUCAUUGUAUCGAUACAAAAGUCUCGUAUUCCUUUGUAUCGAUCCACAAAAGUAUCGGAUUUGAUCGAACAACUCUAAUUUAUGUUUAUUUGUUUACCUUACAAAAUUUUUCUCUGAUAAUACUUACCCCAGUCUUUAAUAGACCUGAAAUUUUCUAAAAAAAAAAAUUUAAAAUACAAACGCCACGGAAACAUAUAUUAUUAUAUAUUAGUUCACAAGAACUUAAAUAUUGCUCAACAAAAAUAUCAAAAGAAAAAUUACAUUGAUCAAUCAGUAUGGACAUUGAUUUUAAUCACAUAGAAAGAGAUCUGCUAGACGAUACUACAGAUUCGUCAGUAAAACUGGAAUUUAAAGAAGAAGACGACGAUGAGCGAUAUACUAUGGAUCUUCUUCGGCUUGCAACUUGUGUAGAAUCAAAUACAGAUCCAAUUGAAUUCAACUCCACCGAUGCAAUAACGGAUCCCAAAACUGGAAAAAUGGUUUGCCUUCAUUGCUUAGGUGAAAUUGAUUCAAGUUCCAUUAAUGCUCACAUGGUUAAUGUUCACAAUUAUAGAAAAAUUCUUUUCAAAUGUCACAUCUGUCAGACAGUUUUUCAAGAACGCAAACUUUUACAAGUCCAUAGAGAAGAAUGUCGUCCUCUGCUAAAAACUACUAAGAAAAAAUCAAUGGGACAAAUAAUGAAAGAAGUGGACAAGAUAUUAAAGAAUCCUGAAAAUCUAUUAGAUACUGUAGCUUGUCCGGUUUGUGUUGUGGAAGUGCCAAAAUUUUCACUGCGGGAACAUGUGGAUAUAGAACAUAGGAAGCCUGAAAUUAAUUUAACAUGUCAGAUUUGUAACAGAACCUUCAAGUCAAAGCUUACUCUAAAAGAGCAUAUUAAAUUAGUGCAUGAAGCUGUUGAAGAUUCUGAGCAGUGUGAACUCUGCGGGCAAAAGUUUAGAUCUCUUAAAUAUUUAGCCAACCAUAAAAGAAAUGUGCACCCGAGUGGGUGGUAUCAGACUUGGAAUUUGACGAAUUGUAGGAUACCCUCCAUAUUCUGCAAUUUUUGAAAAAAGAAGACUAUAAUCACCCAAAUUACAAAUCAAAGAUUUUACUGUAACUACAAAUCAUAAAUAAAAAAUAGUUUUGCACUAUCCAUUGCACAGCACUAGAUUUCCAAAUCUUGAGAACUUAACUGUGUUUCAGUAGCAACAUGCUUGAUUACUUCCGAAGUCGGUAACACUGAUCUCGCCCUAGCAAGAUCAAGAAUCUUAACUGAUGAGAUUAUCUAUUUUUGAUUUACAAUCAGUGAUAGUCAUGUCGGAUUACAAGGGCUCUGUAUUCUAAGUGUAUCUUUAUGGAUUAUAGAGAGGCAGAGUUAGUGGGGGUCAACUGUAGAAAAUUGUCAAUGUGUUUCAGGUGACAAAAUUCACAAGUGUACUGUUUGUGGCAAAGAGUUUAAAAGUCGUCUUUGUGUUCACCAACAUAUGAAGCAUGUUCACCCUCCAGAGAGUGCAACUGUAGUAUGUCCUCACUGCCCUAACAAGAUUUUUAAAUCAAGCAUUAAUUUACAUCAACACUUAAAAGUGGCACAUGGGAUGAAGAAGAAGACUAAAAUAUAAUAAUAUAUAAUAAACUCAUAUUAUUCCUUCAGCCCCCUCGACCUUACGUUUCCAUCCUCAGACUUCCUCUUCCUUCUACAGAAAAACGAUCCUUCAGAAGCCUAAAAGUCAUGCCCCUCACGUGCCGGGCUAUGAUCAAAAAGCUCAUAGAGCUAUUACUAAUUCCUACUCUUUUUCUUCCUCUGCUAAUGGCUGCGCUCUCAGUAAAAAUUCUUCUCCUUCUGAGGAUAUUCCCUCUAGUGAAAUCUUCUCUUUAAUUAAACUACUAGCUUCUUUUUUUUAACAAAAAUCGACCUACCUGACCACGUUGUCAAUGACAUAAUUUACACUAUUUUUUCCCACCAUAAUGGAUCUAAAUCUUUUGCAGUGGAAUGCCAGGAGCGCCCUCCCAAAAAACAUGACUUUCUCCAUUUAAUCAAUUUAUAUAAUCCCGCGAUCUUUGCAAUUUCUGAGACGUGGCUCUUGCCACAUCUCCAAUUUCACAUCACAGGUUAUAGCACCUACCGUGAUGACCGUGAUGACGGGUAUGGUGGUGCUGCUAUACUGGUCAAUAAUGUCUUCCCUUCUUCUUCUCUUUCUCUUCCUCCUCAUGGAGCCGGGAUUAAUGCCGUUGGUGUUAACAUCCUUGGUAUUAAUUUUAUCUCCAUUUAUUUCCCUCCUUCUGUCCCUAUAUGUAUUCCUUUCCUAAGAAAUUUAUGUAUUUUAUUGAACCCAAUUAUCCUUAUGGGAGAUUUUAAUUGUCAUCACUUCUUUUGGGGAUCUGACCAUUGUGACGCUUCAGGUACAUAUUUGGCAGAGCUAAUAGAUGAAAUAGGGUUAUACGGCCACUAGACUCCCUAGACCGGGUCAAAGCAGAAGCUGUGUGGACCUAACACUGUGUUCAUCCACUCUAGUAAAUUCCCUAGACUGGAAACGUCUUAAUUCAACAUACGGUAGUAAUCAUUACCCUAUUUGUUCUACCUUUUCCAAUAGGUCUCUCCCCAGCAAAAAUAGAACUCCCUUAUUGCAGUACCGCAUUACUGACGCCAGGUGGGACAUUUACCAACAGAAUCUAGAAAAAAGAAUCCUUUCCUUUCCCCAAAUCUCUUUUGACAAUUUGGAUGCUUGUUUGGGUUUGUAUUCAGAUUCCAUUUCAGCUGCUGCAGAUCUGAGUAUUCCCUUGAAAAAUUCAGCUUUGGGAAAAUUAUCUUCUCCCUGGUGGGACAGAGAAUGCACAGACCUUAUUAAAUCCCGGAAAGAAGCUGAAUUUAAUUUGUUCUCUCUCACCUUCAUCCCCGUCUUGCCAGACUAGGGAUAGUCUGGCAAAAUUAUAAAAAAUUUAGACGCGGAUGCUCCCCUCAAAAUUCUCCCAAUAUCUCACGGAGCAUCGCCCUACAAUUUAUUAACAGAUUGGCUCCUGCCUAUGCUCCUCUUAUUGAUGAAUGUCCCUCAUUGGCAAUUAAUAUACUCGCUGUUGAUCCUUUAGACGAACCUUUCUCCAUAAAUGAGCUAAAUUCUGUACUUAAAUAUGUCCAAGACUCGUUUCCUAGCUUACAUGGCUUUCCCUACUCUUUUUACAAAAUGUCUGGUCAUCAUAGUCGUCAGUUCCUUCUAAAUUUAAUAAAUACAUGUUUUAUUUUUGGUUAUAUCCCUGACGCUUGGAAAUCUCAAUUAAUCAUCCCCAUUCUGAAGCCAGGCAAAUCUCCUGAUAGUCUUGAUCACUACCGUCCUAUUGCAUUCUCCCCUGUAAUUGGCAAGAUCCUUGAACAUUUAAUUAAAAAUAGGUUGGAGUGGUAUGUGGAAAGUAAAGAAAUGAUAGCAGACUCUCAGUUUGGAUUCCGAAAGGGGUUCAGUACCUUGGAUAGCAUCGGCACCUUUAUUUCUGAUACGCGAAUUGCCUUCAGUGAAAACCAGUCGGUUGUGGCCUGUUUUCUAGACAUUUCAUAUGCAUACGACAAUGUCCUUCUUUCCGUGCUCAGGAGAAAAUUACGUGAGCUGAGUGUUCCGGUAAAGAUGCAACAUUGCAAAUGUAAUUUUCUGGCGGGCCGUACUGUUAGCGUACACAUCCCUGGUGAUCUUGUCCACACAUCGAGGUUGCUCUGGAGGGGUCUCCCCCAGGGUUCGGUGUUGAGUCCCUUGCUGUACAACAUUUAUACAUCUGAUCUACAUAGGUCACUUAACAUCGGAUGCCAUAUUUUACAAUAUGCAGAUGACCUGUGCAUAUAUACAGCUGUCCCAUCCAUAGUUGACGCUGGCAUAUCCAUGCAAAUAUCCCUCAAUUCUCUGAAUCAUUGGCUUUCUGCUCAUGGGCUCCAAUUGUCAGCCUCUAAGAGCUCUGUUGUCGUUUUCUCUCGUAAUCGAGUUAUACCAGAUGUACAUCUAAAAAUUAAAGGAUCUCCUGUGAAAACUUGUGAUAAUCUACAGGUUUUUUACUGAUGCUUCGAAACUUUCAUCUCAUAGUGGGACGGGUGUCUCAGUUUAUUACUAAAAUUCCAACAUUUUCCUUCAAUUCCGGUGCCCUCCGGAAACAUCUGUGUUUUCUGGGGAAUGCAUUGGUAUUUUAGAGGCAGGUCAUUUUGUUUCUUCCCAUAGCACUAUUACAAGGGCAGUUAUUUUUUUAGACUCUAGAAGUGCCCUGGACACUAUCGUCAAAAACCCUUUCAGGGAUAAACUCCGCAGUUCAAUAGUCUCUGAAAUUAAAAAUUGUUUGUUUUCAUGCUCGAAGAAGCAGAUCGACAUUAUAUUGGUAUGAAUUCCUGGCCACUCUGGCAUCAGAGGUAAUGAGAUUGCUGAUUCAUUGGCCAAAGCCGCAAUCUCCAGCAGCCUAGCCGACUUAAAACAUCACUCUGUCUAACCUUAUGAUUUACUCCAUUUUGCUAAGUCUAAUAUAAGUAAGUCAUGGCAAGCCUACUGGACGGAGUCCAGUAAGACGAAGGGAGGCAUAAAUGCUUCAAGCCAACCCACCAUUCCUACAAAACCAUGGUUUUUUAAAUUCAAAAAUAUUUCCAAACCUGUUAAAUCUGUGCUCUGUAGGGUUCGUUUGGGUCAUUGCUGUUGCAAUGACGGCCUUUGCCCUGAUUGGCCGUGGUACACGGCGCUAGUUUGUCGAUAGUGAGGUGACCAUGUGGUGAAAUAAAAUCAUCGACAGAAUUCUCGACUAUAUUUACAUUUGACAUGGUUAAUUUUUGUAUUAUUUUAUAUUUAAUUAAUGAUACCUAGUAUAUUCUUAGUGAGACGUAUUUUGAGUAAAUUAAAUAUGUAUUAUUAUUAUUAUUGAGAUUAUCACUGAAUUAAUGUGAAGGUAUAAUAUAAAGGGACAUGUAGACCUCUCAUUUACGGGUAUUUACUAUAUUGUCUAAGACGUAUUAAAAUCUAAGUAAAAUGCUAUUUGACUUAUGCAAUAAAUUAUAAAUUUUAGGUUUCCUAAAGAACCUAACGCCAGGGAACAAUAGAUUGACGUGACAGGUAGAGGAAACUGGAGACAAAGACGUAUUUAACUAGCUCUAAACAUUUUACUGAAAAUGAUUUUACCAUUUAAAAAUCAGGCUACACUUUGUUUUGAAAAAUUCAUUCGCAAUUAAUAGCAAGCACCAACUGCUUAACAAAUACGUUUUAUUCCAGGGACAGUGAUUAUUUGUAAUUAAUAAAAGUAAAAUAGUUUUUUUUCAAUAUUUA